rnacentral:rRNA from 1 species
AUCGAACGCUGGCGGCAGGCCUAACACAUGCAAGUCGAACGAGUGGCGGACGGGUGAGUAAUGUCUGGGCAACUGCCUGAUGGAGGGGGAUAACUACUGGAAACGGUAGCUAAUACCGCCUACCAUCAGCUGUGCCCAGAUGGGAUUGGCUAGUUGGGGGGGUAAGGGCUCACAAAGGCGACGAUCCCUCGCUGGUCCGAGAGGAUGACGUGCCAAACUGGAACGGAGACACGGUCAAGACGCCUAGGGGAGGAAGCAGUGGGGAAUAUUGCACAAGGGGCGCAAGCCUGAUGCAGCCAUGCCGCGUGUAUGAAGAGGGCCUUCGGGUUGUAAAGUACUUUCAGCGGGGAGGCGUUACCCGCAGAGGAAGCACCGGCUAACUCCGUGCCAGCAGCCGCGGUAAUUC